UACAGAGGGGGGCUAGCGUUAUUCGGAAUCAUUGGGCGUAAAGAGCGUGUAGGCGGCCCGGUAAGUCCGCUGUAAAAGUCAAAGGCUCAACCUUUGAAUGUCAGUGGAUACUGCCGGGCUAGAGUCCGGAAGAGGCGAGUGGAACUCCUGGUGUAGCGGUGGAAUGCGCAGAUAUCAGGAAGAACACCAACGGCGAAGGCAGCUCGCUGGGACGGUACUGACGCUGAGACGCGAAAGCGUGGGGAGCGAACAGG
rnacentral:rRNA from 1 species